rnacentral:lncRNA from 1 species
GCCCAUUGGAGUUAACUGGCAGCAGUGCUGGGCUUCGGAGGCUGCGAUUCGACCCAGAGCCACAUGGACGCCCUCCCAGCUGGCAUCCCCAGGCAGCACUGUGCUGCCCUUGGUGCCGACUGCCUCCUGGACUCCAAGGACCAUCUCCUGGCUCACAGCUGGGCAGGCUCCCACUCGGAGCUGCUGCACUGGGCAGGCUCGCUGGCAGCAGCACUCACCUGCACCUAAGUGAGAGCACGAGGCCUGGAUGCCUGCUAGACCUGGUUGGCCCUAGCAGGAGGCAGGAUGGACACGACUGUCAGCCUUUGUCUGCAGGCAGGUGCACCGUGGUCACGCUGAUGGAGAGAGUGAGGGAGGGUGUAUAUAGGUUUGUGGGGGGUAUACUGGGGGCGUGUUCCAUGCUGAGAGGGCUGAUUCAGUUGCAUAAAUGCCAGCAGCCUGCUGCUUUCACAGAGGUUGCCUCCCAGACGUGUUCUCUGGAGAGAGGGUGGACAGCAUAGGGUGAUGGAG